rnacentral:rRNA from 1 species
UAUCUCUGUAGAGUCUGCAUAUCAAUAAGCGGAGGAAAAGAAACUAACUAGGAUUCCCUUAGUAACGGCGGGUGAAGCGGGAAGAGCUCAAAUUUGAAAUCUUCAAGGUUUACCUUGACGAAUUGUAGUUUAAAGAAGUGUUUUCUGUUGGAGUUUUGGUAAAAGUUCUUUGGAAUAGGACAUCAUAGAGGGUGAGAAUCCCGUAUUUGACCAUUAUUUCCAGCUUUGUGAUACACUUUCAAAGAGUCGGAUUGUUUGGGAAUGCAGUCCAAAAUGGGUGGUAAAUUUCAUCUAAAGCUAAAUACUUGGCGAGAGACCGAUAGCGAACAAGUACCGUGAGGGAAAGAUGAAAAGAACUUUGAAAAGAGAGUUAAACAGUACGUGAAAUUGUCAAAAGGGAAGCGUUUGACACCAGUGUAGUUUUCUCGAAAAUCAAUUAAAAAAGAUUGGAUUUUGUGUUGUAUUGACUUUAUCAGCUUUCUGCACUCUUUUCUUGUCUUUUUUAAUGCACUUUUCGUUUAACAAGUCAACAUCAAUUUCUUUUGUUGUAAAAGAGUCAUUGGAAGGUGGCUUUCUUUUCGGAGAAAGUGUUUAUAGCCUUUGGCUUCUGCAAUCGGAGAGAUUGAGGUCUGCAGCGUAGAUCCUUCGGGGUUAGAUGCAUUUGUGCUAAGUUAUAGCCUUUCAUAGACAACUUGUUGACUAUGAUCAGUCAUGUAGCUUACUCGCUUAUGCUAUUUUACCUACGCUUAGGAUGUUGAACACGCACAGAGUCUC